GUCUGCUGCUCCAAGCAACAAACGUUUUUGUUGGCUAAAUUUUUAUGUGUAAUUUAUGUCACAAUUCAAUGUAAGAAAUGUGUUUGAAAGUGACAUGAAAUAACUUUUUAAAAAAUGAAAUCCAAAUUUUACAGUCUGCAGUCAUAGCAUGGCAUGUGAGACACACGUGGUUGGAGGUAUGGAAAUGGCCAACAGGAGAUGCAUUCUCCAAGUUCUGCUGGGAAAGUGGGGCUAUUCUGGAGACUGAUGAGGCAACAUGGCACCCAUUCAAUGACCAAAAAAGAGAAGCCGCCAGAAGGAGCUGUAAUAACUUAAACACACCCAACCCUGAAGAACACAAACAAAGGAGACGGCAGACUCUCGUCCAGCCCGGUGCAUUCGAAAUCCCAUGCAGGAUCAAGAAUGCAAAACUUUUGGUUUAUUCACAAGCUGUAGCUUCAGACUGUACUUUUGCAAAGGUAAUGCAUACUAAAGUUUUACUAUCAAAAACAGACAUGUACAGAAAACAUCAGAGAGAUGUCAAGACAUACAUACAUUCAUCUUGUGCAAAUUCACCCGGACACAUUUAGAGGCCAUGGAGUUCUACAGGAGUUUAACAACCUUUGAUUGAAUCAGGCAAUU